AGCAGUCGCCGCGGUAAUACGUAGGUGGCAAGCGUUGUCCGGAAUUAUUGGGCGUAAAGCGCGCGCAGGUGGUUUAAUAAGUCUGAUGUGAAAGCCCACGGCUCAACCGUGGAGGGUCAUUGGAAACUGUUAAACUUGAGUGCAGGAGAGAAAAGUGGAAUCCCUAAUGUAGCGGUGAAAUGCGUAGAGAUUAGGAGGAACACCAGUGGCGAAGGCGGCUUUUUGGCCUGUAACUGACACUGAGGCGCGAAAGCGUGGGGAGCAAACAGGAUUAGAUACCCCAGUAGUCCUGUCUCUUAUACA
rnacentral:rRNA from 1 species